rnacentral:misc_RNA from 1 species
GGGAACUCUUUACUGGAAUAAUACUGCACAUUUGGAGUCCAUUCUGGCAACUUUUUCCGGUAGACACGGCCUGGAAGUCCUAGAACUCCAUCAGUCUCCCCAUCCACAGAAAACAUAUACAUCAAAGAAACCAUUCGAUAUUGAUGAAGCCCAUUACAGUCUGGAUCAAGAACAAAGGGCUGCCCUGAAGUUGUAAGCACAUAACGACCGCCAUUCUUAACAGGUGCCCAGACCUGAGCUAACACACGUUCUCCCGUUGAUUCCUUGAAGUAUCGAAGUGCCUGUGUCAUCCUCUC